rnacentral:siRNA from 1 species
UGUGUCACGAUCAUCUUACUUG